GGGAAUCUUGCGCAAUGGGCGAAAGCCUGACGCAGCAACGCCGCGUGCGGGAUGAAGGCCUUCGGGCUGUAAACCGCUUUCAGCAGGAACGAAAAUGACGGUACCUGCAGAAGAAGGAGCGGCCAACUACGUGCCAGCAGCCGCGGUGACACGUAGGCUCCAAGCGUUGUCCGGAUUUAUUGGGCGUAAAGAGCUCGUAGGCGGUUUAGUAAGUCGGGUGUUAAAACUCUGGGCUCAACCCGGAGAGGCCAUCCGAUACUGCUGUGACUUGAGUUCAGGAGGGGAGCGGGGAAUUCCUAGUGUAGCGGUGAAAUGCGCAGAUAUUAGGAGGAACACCGGUGGCGAAGGCGCCGCUCUGGACUGAAACUGACGCUGAGGAGCGAAAGCAUGGGUAGCAAACAGGAUUAGAUACCCCGGUAGUCCGG
rnacentral:rRNA from 1 species